GAUGAACGCUGGCGGCGUGCCUAAUACAUGCAAGUCGUGCGGUAAGGCUCUGCACUUAGUACUUGAUCGUGAAUGGGGAUUUAUCUCUGUUUACAGCAAACUGACCCAAUCCUAGGCUAGGAACGGGGCGGCAAGGGAAGAUCGAAUAAUAAGUGUAGAGUACACGAGCGGCGGACGGCUGAGUAACACGUAGGAACAUACCCCAAAGUGAGGGAUAAGCUCCAGAAAUGGAGUCUAAUACCGCAUAUGGUCUAAGGAUUAAAGCUUCGGCGCUUUGGGAAUGGCCUGCGCAUGAUUAGCUAGUUGGUGAGGUAUAGCUCACCAAGGCGACGAUCAUUAGCUGGUCUGAGA
rnacentral:rRNA from 1 species